AUUUGUCAAGCGGUAUUCAUCCUUCACCGGACAUGUUUCAAGCGGUACUCAUCUACACCGGUCACCACUUGACCGGAUUAGGGCUUUGAUUCGUUUAGCAGGUGAUUUCACUUCAACAAGUGUCUCAUUUAGUUUACCCACAUUUUCGGAUUUCAAGUCAUUCAGAUCACCUCGAGGACUGUUGAUAUUGAUACUAGCUGCAUACACCAGUCGAUGGUCCCAAACAUAAGAUUGGAAGAGUAGCUGUCUUCGCAAUCGGUUGAUCUCAAAAAUAUCAACAACGGGGCAUUAAGCACUUCUGAAAAUAAUAGCUCAGCCUGGCUAACAACCUCAUUCACUUCAUUUUGUAUCCACUCCUGAGUCUCAUAUUUGAAAACAAGGUUGGGAGGAGGAAGGUAGACGGAGUGGACAUUGAUUGAUGCAUAGCGGAAGCAGGCAACCAUUUUGGCAAAGCCAUAAAAACGAAGACAGUCUCGAUGCAGCAGCAAUCGCAUGUUGGUUUGGAAGCUGUUUGUGUUGAGAUAAAACAAGAAACAGAACAGCAGGUGCACAAACUGCUUUGACAGCAACAUCCACGAAGAGGAAUUCACAUUGACUGUUGGUGUUGCUAGUGACACCAUAAACUCACAGCUUCAGCAAAGAUCACAUCAACAACAGAUUGCUAGUUGACUAUCUUCAACCAAGUUUGCAGCAACUAACAGUAGCUAUUGGUGUGGAGAAGACAGCAGUAGCAACAACUUUUAGUUUUGUAACAGCAACAGAUUGCAAGUCUUAGUAACAGAUUUGAAACAGCAGCAUGUUGAUCCAAUACAGUGCUCACAACAGUCUGUGCAGAUUGAAGAAACAGCAACUACGCAGCAGACUUACGUGUGAUUUUAUCACAGUUUUAUCAGCUUAACCACAGUUUUAUCAACUUCAUUAUAAACUGUGUUGUGUUUGUGAUAAGCAACAGAUUUGAUGUAACAGUUUCUGUCUUGAGCAACAGAUUUAUUAGUAUUUGCUGACUUUUGCUAAAACAGGUUCAUAGUUACUAACAUCUGUGAAAGCAUUAUUUGCAGUUUGUGGU